rnacentral:rRNA from 1 species
UACGGAGGGUGCGAGCGUUGUCCGGAAUCAUUGGGCGUAAAGGGCGCGUAGGCGGCGCGGUAAGUCGCUUGUGAAGUCUCUGAGCUUAACUCAGAACGGCCAAGUGAUACUGCAGUGCUAGAGUGCAGAAGGGGCAAUCGGAAUUCUUGGUGUAGCGGUGAAAUGCGUAGAUAUCAAGAGGAACACCUGAGGUGAAGACGGGUUGCUAGGCUGACACUGACGCUGAGGAGCGAAAGCGUGGGGAGCGAACAGG